AUGGCCUCGAGCCCGAUUCCCUCGUCCUUCUCCUCCUGUCGCCGCGGCCUUUCUCGCUGCAUAUCCGCCGCCCCAGGACAGCUCCUCCGGCCUCCCCGUCCUCUGUUUCUCCUUGCCUCGCCUCCUGCUCCCCCGUGCCUCGCGAACCGCAUGUGUGGCCGCGUCCAACGCCUCCCGCUCCAUCUGCCAUGGCCUCACUUCGCCAGUGCCGCGCCUCCGUCACCCGGCGAGCUCCGCCACCAGCCGGUCCCUCCAUCGCGCCUCCCUGCUUCGUACGACCGCCAUGUCACCAUGCUCCAGCGCCGCUUCGAGCUCGUCAUCCCCGACCUCCUCCGUUCGGGAUAUCGUCAUUCCUCGUCGUCCCGUCAUCGGAGUUCACGCCCAAGGCCUGCUGCAACCUCACCUUCGGCCUCGCCAUGGUUCCCCUGCACAAGCUGCUUCCGGCAAGGACGUUACCCCACUGCCUUCUCUUGUCGAGACCGAGACCCGGGAGCGUCAAGUUUCUUCCAUGAUGCCCGAACGACUACAGGCCGAGACGCCAAGUCCAACGACCACUGA
rnacentral:rRNA from 1 species